rnacentral:rRNA from 1 species
GUGGGGAAUCUUCCGCAAUGGACGAAAGUCUGACGGAGCAACGCCGCGUGAGUGAUGAAGGUCUUCGGAUUGUAAAGCUCUGUUAAUCGGGACGAAAGAGCCUAGUGUGAAUAAUGCUAGGAAGUGACGGUACCGGAAUAGAAAGCCACGGCUAACUACGUGCCAGCAGCCGCGGUCAUACGUAGGUGGCAAGCGUUGUCCGGAAUUAUUGGGCGUAAAGCGCGCGCAGGCGGAUCUGCCAGUCUGUCUUAAAAGUUCGGGGCUUAACACCGUGAUGGGAUGGAAACUACAGGUCUAGAGUAUCAGAGAGUAAAGUGGAAUGCCUAGUGUAGCGGUGAAAUGCGUAGAUAUUAAGAAGAACACCAGUGGCGAAGGCGACUUUCUGGACGAAAACUGACGCUGAGGCGCGAAAGCCAGGGGAGCGAACGGGAUUAGAAACCCUGGUAGUCC